CCAGAUUCGUCCAGUUGCCCCCGUCCUCCGCACUCGAACCAAUUCCAGAAGGCGCUCCUGGAUCGCGAUUCUUGGACCUUGCAUCAGUUCAAGAACGGCGCUUGUGGAUCACGAGUUCACGACCCUCUGAUCUCGCACCAGUUCAAGAACUGCUCUCCUGGAUCGCGAUGUUGAGGUGUUCCGUCACUACAACACCAAGCAGGAUACCACGGCUGAACUUUUCUGCAUCACCGGCCAGGGAUGGAUGCCACUAUACUGGUACAUUGCUAGACCUUCACCCAUCCUCAAUUACUAUUGAUGGUUUUUAAUUUUACCAGAUCCCGUCACUUGAUAUGGUUUCUUUUUCAUGUUCGCCUUUGCUGAUUCCUGGCUGCACACCGCCUGCCACUGGCUGCUUCUUAACCAAUUCAACUCUUUCCCAGAUCGGAUGCCCUGGAUCCAAUCAACUGCAGCAGGGCUCCUGCGCUGUUGGCAGAAUAUGUUCGAAGUUCCACCUUUCUGGAAUAACUAUUUUGUUGAUUAAUAGAUAUUUCAGUCCAAUUCUUUUCAAGAACUCCAUAAAUAUUAGUAGUACCACUUAGAUUACAUAUUGGCUACUGGUCCCCUAAUUUAGUUCUCUUUAGUGCAAAUUUAUUAUGCAGACCUGGAUGAUUUUGUUGAUGUGAAUGCUAUGCGAGGUCAUAGCCUGAGUGAUCGUGCAGCAAAACCUUCUUGGUCCAGGACACAAUGAGUUUCUUUGUUCAUGUCGACGAGAGGUGAAUCUUCAUGACUUCUUUGUUACAAUUUUGGGGAACAGAAACUACUCCCUCCAUUCCAAAUUGACUCCAAAAGUAAUCAGAGUCUGUGUUAGAGCAUGGUAAGUUCCUUUGUCCUCACAUUGUUAUUGACUCGAAUGUUUCUAAAUCGCAUGUUGGCUUUCACCCACAGAUAAAUUACAUGAAAAUGGAUGAACAAGACAUGCUCAGAAAACUUUUAGAUAAGGCUCGUAUCCUACCUUGUUUUUUUCUUUAUUUAUCAAAGCGCGCGUUUCAAAUCUUAAGUUAUAAAGUUUCGCAGCCUCGUGUAUAUAUACAUGGAAGCACGACUAGCCGAGACCUGAACGGACUUGCACAAGUACUAAUCAGACUAGGACUGGAUUUCAAACCUUACUUGGACUCUAAACGGGCCAGUACUUAACUCCUAGAUUCCUACACUUCGUACUCAAAACAAGUAGCAGCUGCAUGUCGAAUACUACUAGGAAACUAAACUCACACGGACUAGGAUAUUACUAGGAACUAAACAAUCUUCUUUUGAUUAAUCCUAACAGUUCAGAUAUCUCACUCUUACUAUUAUGCAUGAGUACAUAGCUACAUUUGGAUAAAGUUACAUGUGCAUUACUAUAUUUUAUUACUUCUCAAGACUGAAAUCAUUUCAUUUAUCUGUAUAUAUAUGUACAGUGUAGACUUGAGGCCAUUUCUAGAACCAAAAGGAUGCACGAUGCAUCAUAAGACACAAUGCUUCUCUAAGGUACUAUGAUGCAUCCUUUAUUCGUUCUAGUAUGCUCAUUUUAAUUAAGCUCUUGACAAAUUGCAGCAGGUUAUACUCAUGACAUCAAAGUUACAGAGCUACUUCAUAUUAGUCUGAAUAGACUUAUUCCUAUCCAAAAUAAAUUAUUGUGUAAAAUA